rnacentral:lncRNA from 1 species
UCGGGUACCAUUGCUAGAUGGUCACUUCAAUUAGUACAGAAAUUGGUUCCUGUGCUACCGACUUAGGUUCGAACCUGCGGGGUCACACACAUUAGAGAUUCUUAUCUGAUCUGAUGGCUGAUGAAGAGUCUUAAUGCUCAUGGACUAUGAGUCCUACGUGUCUGAGACUCUGUGAUCGAGAAUCAGGAUUCUCUGAUCAUGAGUACCACAC